UGAGGAAUCUUGCGCAAUGGGCGAAAGCCUGACGCAGCCACGCCGCGUGGAGGAAGACACCCCUCAGGGGCGUAAACUCCUUUUGUACGAGAAGAAGGCCGGAGUCUCUCCGGAUUGACGGUACCGUACGAAUAAGGACCGGCUAACUCCGUGCCAGCAGCCGCGGUAAUACGGAGGGUCCAAGCGUUGUCCGGAAUCACUGGGUGUAAAGGGUGCGCAGGCGGGCUUGUAAGUCAGGGGUGAAAGCCUACGGCUCAACCGUAGAAUUGCCCUUGAUACUGCAAGUCUUGAGUCCUAGAGAGGCUAUCGGAAUUCGUGGUGUAGCGGUGAAAUGCGUAAAUAUCACGAGGAACACCGGAGGUGUAAACGGAUAGCUGGAUGGGUACUGACGCUCAGGCACGAAAGCGUGGGGAGCAAACAGGAUUAGAUACCCCCGUAGUCC
rnacentral:rRNA from 1 species